GGUUAGAUAGUCCCUCUUCUGAAAGCGAAGUCACGUGCACAGAGGGCUGCCAAAGAGACUGAGCAGAGCCCGCAAAACGCUGGGCGAGACGGACCGGUGUCUGAUCUGCUCUGGCAGGUUUGCAUUCCUGAUCAUUUGCACCUGGCUGGAUGCGGUUGCCUGGAGGACGGCACAGCCUUUCCCCGUGGCACUGCAGGGACGUGCGCUUCUCCCCACCUGGCCUGCUCCCUGCUACAUCUGCUUUGGUUUUAUUCAGUAGUAUUAAUAGUGGUGGUGGUCUCUGGAGCCAGAUUAGUGUUGGGGUUAGCCCAGCCUGGGAAGGCCCCAGAGGGAGGAGGAGAACAGCCUGGGGUGAAAGUAAGGCCUGCCACCUGGGGGGUGAUUUCCCGCACCAGCCCUGGCAGGCUGACGGGUGGAUGUGUCCAUGUCGCUCUGGAUGCAGCAGGACAGCAGAAGAACUAGGAAAGGUUGCACUUGCCUCUGUGCAGAAGUAAGUUUCCUUUCCCAGGUUUUAUCAGUUCUGCUGGGCAUUAAAUCAAACUUGUUGCAUGUAGGUAUAAUUCAGUCCACCUCGAACUAGUCCUAGUGCACUCUAGAAAUGAGCAUGAAACUGCUAGAGAUGAUCAGGAACAGGACAAGGAAUAAAUAGUCUAGCACUUUCUCCAGAGAGAAAGUCUCUAACUUUGUCAUUAGAAAGUAAUUAUUCUUGCUAAAACUGGCUAAGAGGUUCAUGUAUCUGCAGUGCAUAGCUGAUCCUGUCUUGGAGCGUAUGGCAGGCUGGAACACUCUCCUGCUGUGUUUUUAAGAGUAAUGAAAACAAAGAGUUAUUUAAGAAGCCUCUCCUUUGAGCUGGGAAUGCUUGGUAAGGCGCUCUCUUUUCUAGAGCUCCUGAGUGUUCGGACACCUUAAAAUUUUUUAAGGCCAGUGUUGAAUUGUUACAGCUCUGCGAAGCACUGUGAAAGAAAAAGACCAGUGAUCACAGGAUGAAUGGGAACUUUACUUUCUAAAA